UAUUAGGUUGGUGCAAAAGUUACUGAGAUUUUUGCUAUUACUUUUAAUGGCAAAAACUGCUAUUACUUUUGCACCAACCUGAUAAGU
rnacentral:miRNA from 1 species